rnacentral:snRNA from 1 species
AUGCUCGUUUCAGCAGCAUACAUACUACAACUGGAAUGAUGCACAGAAGACUGGAAAGGCCCCUGUGCCUGGAUGACUUGCAAAUUUGUGAAGCACUUCACAUUUUA